rnacentral:misc_RNA from 1 species
GAUGAAGAACGUAGCGAAAUGCGAUAAGUAAUGUGAAUUGCAGAAUUCCGUGAAUCAUCGAAUCUUUGAACGCACAUUGCGCCCCCUGGUAUUCCGGGGGGCAUGCCUGUCCGAGCGUCAUUGCAACCCUCAAGCGCGGCUUGUGUGUUGGGCUUCGUCCCCCCGUGGACGUGCCCGAAAGGCAGUGGCGGCGUCCCGAAUGGUGCCCGAGCGUAUGGGAACUCUCUUCCGCUCGAACCGGCCCAUUCGGCGCUGGUCGAACCCCAAUUUUUUACCGGUUGACCUCGGAUCAGGUAGGGAUACCCGCUGAACUUAAGCAAAUCAAUAAGCGGAGGA